rnacentral:rRNA from 1 species
GACGAACGCUGGCGGCGUGCUUAACACAUGCAAGUCGAACGAAGAGCGAUGGAAGCUUGCUUCUAUCAAUCUUAGUGGCGAACGGGUGAGUAACGCGUAAUCAACCUGCCCUUCAGAGGGGGACAACAGUUGGAAACGACUGCUAAUACCGCAUACGAUCUAAUCUCGGCAUCGAGGAAAGAUGAAAGGUGGCCUCUAUUUAUAAGCUAUCACUGAAGGAGGGGAUUGCGUCUGAUUAGCUAGUUGGAGGGGUAACGGCCCACCAAGGCGAUGAUCAGUAGCCGGUCUGAGAGGAUGAACGGCCACAUUGGGACUGAGACACGGCCCAGACGCCUACGGGAGGCAGCAGUGGGGAAUCUUCCGCAAUGGACGAAAGUCUGACGGAGCAACGCCGCGUGAGUGAUGACGGCCUUCGGGUUGUAAAGCUCUGUUAAUCGGGACGAAAGGCCUUCUUGCGAACAGUUAGAAGGAUUGACGGUACCGGAAGAGAAAGCCACGGCUAACUACGUG